GAUAACCAAAGAUAACUCCUGGACUAACAGUAAUAUUAGUAAUUUUUCUUACAUCACCACCACCAGGUGCCCAUGUAUCAUAUACACCACCAAACCAUAUAGCUUUAGCUACUAAUAAUAAAGCGCCAACACCUAAUAUAAUUAAAUGAAUACCUAAAAUAGUAGUCAUUUUAUUUUUAUCUUUCCA
rnacentral:antisense_RNA from 14 species